ensembl:lincRNA
AUGAAGGCUCCUGGCCAAGGCAGCUCCCAGAUAGGGUGGCUGCCUGCGUCUCCUCUUAGCAGAGGCCCUUGCCAUUUGGCUGGUGUGUGGGGUGCCCAUGCAUGUGACUGCGGGGGCGGGGCUCAGCCAUCGCUCUUCCCACAGCCAGGAUCCAGGCCCCGAGAUCUAACCCAGGCUGCUGCCAAAGGUCAGUGGGCUUCAUGCUUUGUCCAACUCACGGCUGGCAGGAAGCCGCCCGCCCAGGCCAGCCUCUCUCUGGCCUCUGCUCCUGCAGUCUCCAAAGGGCUUCUAGUGACCCCAAAUCACCAAGAGCCAGGAAGCCUCUGUGGGAAAGACUGUCUGUUCCACCUUCUUCCUGCUACAUUCUGCUUUGCUCUGGACCUACAGAAGUUCCCUCAACUCCUGGUGCCCACAGGAAUGAUACCUGCAGGUGGCUGCCUUGCAGAGCUCACAGGAGCGGGAUGAAGACUCAAGAGGAUCAAAGCACUUGCACUGGUCUGAAGCCAGAGCUUGGGGUAGUCCAGGCUCUGCCAUCAUCACAAGCUGAGUGAUCUUGGCCAGGGCUCUUAACCUCUCUGAACUUCAUUUUCUUCAUCAAAAAGGAAAGAGUUGCCAUGGAAUCAAGGGCCUCCCUCCUUUGAAGUCCACAGUCUGCAUUUUAAAGUCGGAACCUCUUCAUGUGCUGGUGCUUUUGUUUUUAGAAUUUACUGGCUAAGAAAACUCACAAGGACAAAAAGCUACUUUGAAUUCAGCAGUGGUUUAAAAUCAAUUUAUAUUUGGUUAUUUGCAACUGCAUGUAUAUGCGUUUGAAAAAUAACCCUGAUGUGGGCAUUGUUUAUUCAAUCCACACAUGCAGGGUGGGCAUGUGGAUCUUGGUUAUUGCAUUAAGACCCUGCAGCCCCCCAGGAGCUGGGGCUUACGUUGUUGCUCUUUCCAAGUCUGCAUUCAGUAAUCCACAGUGUGAUUAACUCCUGCUUAUCCCUGUGCUGGGAUCACAGUAAGAAAGGAUGGAAGCGGCAAGACAGUGUGCAUAGAGACCCUGAGCCAAAGCACGCACUGUGAGCAAGACAGACACAGCAGGCAGGCGAGGGUCUUCAGUGGCCCCUGGAUGGCUCCACUGUGUGGCCAGUGCCAUGAGUGCCCCUCCCUCCGGCAUCACAGAAGCAGUGGCUCAGCUCCACAGAGCACCUUAUCAGGUGCUGGCCAUGCUGUCUUGGGGGAGGCUCCCCCAGGAGCACUGUGGGUCAUCAAACACCAGCACCGGUCCAUUGCUGAGAACUAGAGCGGGUGGUGCGAGGUGAGCUGGGCGAUCCCAGAGCCACUCUGAUGGAGGUGGGGAAGCUGUGUGGGCUUGGGGAAGGGACUGGGCAGUGCUGCCAGGUGUAGAGUUGGUCAGGCUCCUGGGGAGUCUGCCUAUUUCUACCCAGGCCUGGUUGGCACCAGGGAGACAGCAGACUAAGACUUCAAGGCCCCUCUGGGAUGACAGCCCCUCCAGGAAUCCAGCCAGUCACCCCAGAAGGAAGUGUAAAGGGGAGGUAGCGCACAUCUCGGACUACUCCUCAUUCUGAUGCUCACUGCCCUCUGAAGUCCUCAAGCAGAAAACGCAAAAGCCUGGGAAACAGGUCAGAACUUCUUUUAUCUUUGUUUUUUAAAUCAUUCCUUUUUGAGAUUAGAUUUGGGUUGAAUGCACCCAUCAGCAUUCUAGCCACCCUGGAGAAUGAGCAUUGGCGUCGCUCCUCCUCCUCCUGCUUUUCCUUCUCUGCAGCCUCCCCCUUCUCUACCUCCCUAGGGCUUAGUCCAUGAUGCAACUGUGGGCAAUGCAGGCCCUGGUGGCCCUGGCUGCUGACUGUCCCCUGAGUCUGCAGAGGCCACCUCUGGCCAGCAGCAUGGCUGCUUGCCUGGGAGAGGAGGCUGGGCCUGCACUGGCCAUUUCAAAUCCCAGAAGUUGCUCAUGAGCUGCAGUUUGACUUUGGUCUUACAGACGAUGGAGUGAAGGAUUCAGGAUCACGUCAACAUUGUAAUAAACAGAAUACAGCUUUGAUUUUACCAGUUGUCACACUGAUCCUCAGGUGCCCCUAAGCACCUGGCCAUCCUUCGUCUUCGGACUCUGUCAGCCCCACUGUGUUUGCCCCCACAGCUCCUGGUCUAUUUUCUCCAUGUGUGUCUCACAACUUGCGGUUAUUUUCUCUGUAUGUACAAAUACACCUGUCCCACACUGGAGAUGAAUGUCAUGAGGAAAGGAUUCAUACCUGCAGCUCUCCAAGGUGAGAGUUUAAAAACUAGAUGUUUGGAUGGUUGGUUGGAUAGAUAUGGAUGGAAGGAUGGAUGCAUAGAUAAUAGGUGGAUAGAUGGGUGGGUAGAUGCACGGUGGGAUGGCUAGAUGGGUGGAUGGAUGGGUAAGUGGGUGGGUGGGUAGGUGGACAGAUGGCUAGAUAGACAUAUGGAUAGAUGAGAGAGUAAACAGCUCGAUGGAUGGAUAGGUAGAUGGAUGGAUGAAUGGGUGGGCAGGUGGGUGGAUAGAUGGAUCAGUGAUGACUGGAUGGAUGGAGUGAUGGAUGAAUGGCUAGACUGAUGAAUAAGCA